AGAGUUUGAUCAUGGCUCAGAGUGAACGCUGGCGGCGUGCUUAACACAUGCAAGUCGAACGAGAACGGUACUAGCUUGCUAGUAUGUCAGCUAAGUGGCGGACGGGUGAGUAAUGUGUAGUUAAUCUGCCCUUUAGAGAGGAAUAACAGUUAGAAAUGACUGCUAAUACCUCAUACUCCUUUUGCCUUAAUGGUAAUUGGGAAACGUUUUUUCGCUAAAGGAUGAGACUAUAUGGUAUCAGGUAGUUGGUGGGGUAAGAGCCUACCAAGCCAAUGACGCCUAGCUGGUCUGAGAGGAUGAUCAGCCACACUGGAACUGAGACACGGUCCAGACUCCUACGGGAGGCAGCAGUGGGGAAUAUUGCACAAUGGGGGAAACCCUGAUGCAGCAACGCCGCGUGGAGGAUGACACAUUUCGGUGCGUAAACUCCUUUAUAUGG
rnacentral:rRNA from 1 species